CGCUCGGCAAGGCGUCACGGCAACUUUAUUAAAUUCUCGCCAGGAUUUAUCGGCUGUUUGCACCGAUCUGUCCGACAAUACGCGUACACACGCGCGCAAACAUCAGGGAACAGACGGAAUUGCUCGUUAUAAUUUUCCCGGACUUUAUCACGCGCGAAGAACAAUCAGUCGUCAACCGGUUUCUUACCUAAGUACACAGAAGACAUCUUUUUCGAUACAUUCUCGUCGAGGUACGUAACUCCGAGCGUGUAAAAAGGAGCGGAGCCCGCGCCGUGCAGAAGUUGGGCCACGAGAAAGAUAGUUAAGUACAAACCGCUGUAAGGCUCCUGGUCCGUUUGACCCGCGGAUCCGUUGCAGGACAGCUGAAUACCGGAAAUGCCCAAGCAAAUUAAGAGUGAUGGAAUUCGAGAGAAGAAUAGACCUUCCAAAAAUACGCAAGCACGUGAUGACGUGUUCGUCACCCUUUGACAUAUAUUGUCCGACUGUUGGCCGCCUCUGUAUGGCCCAGCGAGGUAAUGAGGUGACGCGAAUAGGAGGCUUCCUAUACCUAAGACUAGAACCCCUAUGCCUAUAUACCUGCACCAAAAA